UACGGAGGGUGCAAGCGUUAUCCGGAUUCACUGGGUUUAAAGGGAGCGCAGGCGGCUUGGUAAGUCAGUGGUGAAAGGCUUGAGCUUAACUCGGGAACUGCCAUUGAUACUAUCAGUCUUGAAUAUUGUUGAGGUUUGCGGAAUGGGUCAUGUAGCGGUGAAAUGCAUAGAUAUGACCCGGAACACCAAUUGCGAAGGCAGCUGGCUACACGAAUAUUGACACUGAUGCACGAAAGCGUGGGGAUCAAACAGG
rnacentral:rRNA from 1 species